rnacentral:antisense_RNA from 1 species
CUUGACGGAGCCCAGCCAGAGGGGCCGGUCGACGGGGCGCUCCCGGCCGUACGUGGCGAGCAGCGCCUGCGCCUC